UACAGAGGUCUCAAGCGUUGUUCGGAUUCAUUGGGCGUAAAGAGCUCGUAGGCGGUUUGUCGCGUCUGCUGUGAAAACUCGGGGCUUAACCCCGGGCCUGCAGUGGGUACGGGCAGACUAGAGUGCGGUAGGGGAGACUGGAAUUCCUGGUGUAGCGGUGAAAUGCGCAGAUAUCAGGAGGAACACCGGUGGCGAAGGCGGGUCUCUGGGCCGUAACUGACGCUGAGGAGCGAAAGCGUGGGGAGCGAACAGG
rnacentral:rRNA from 1 species